GACGUAGGUGGCGAACGUUAUCCGGAAUCACUGGGCGUAAAGGGUGCGUAGGCGGCCCGUGCAAGUCUGGCGUGAAAGCCCCCGGGCUCAGCCCGGGGAAGUGCGCUCGAAACUGCGCGGCUCGAGUUCGGUAGGGGAGACUGGAAUUCCUGGUGUAGCGGUGAAAUGCGCAGAUAUCAGGAGGAACACCGAUGGCGAAGGCAGGUCUCUGGGCCGAUACUGACGCUGAGGAGCGAAAGCGUGGGGAGCGAACAGG
rnacentral:rRNA from 1 species